ACGACCUUUAGUUGUCGAUUGAAAGUGUCAUCGCAUUGUGGUGAAUUUCUUGACGUAUAAGUGGCUCACUCACCUCCAGUUGGCAGCUUUCACAGUCGUUCGUAAACAAUAAGUCCAGAAAUCGAUUGUUUUGAUUUGGUAUACCACACAUCUGUAGCAAACAUUGAGCCGCCAUGUCAUCGACAAAGACAGCCUCCUCUGGUAGGCGCACUUGGAUUGCAGGUAAAAGAUCAGCAGCAAGACGGAUAUCUUCGGCGUAAGACGAAUAACGCCGUAAAUCUGAAUCAGGAGAUUGAUUCGCGAAUAAUAUUGCUGUUAAACCGCCUGUGGACGGCGAUCAAAACUCCUCCUCCAGACUUUUUGUCGGAAUUGGCAACUGAGCGGUCGCAACGAAAGCAUAGGCAUCAAAAUCAAGCUCCAACGAGGACAUAAACACAGUGUGCAUACGAUCUGCACUACGAAUACUGUUGACAUUCUGGUUGUAUUUACAGGUUCACAAUUCGUACUACGGGCACAUUCAAUAACCGGAACAUACACGACAUGUUUAGAAAGGGCAGAGCUAUUCGGACAUUUUGGAGUCGUCGUCGCUGACCGGCUUCGUCAGAUCCGUGGGUGACUUCUCUGGUGUUUCUUCGUCUGACUCCGACAAGUUGUCCUUGUCGCCUGGCUCCAUCGGUGUCACUUCGACUUCCGGCGGCGCUGAGCCGUUCUGGUUCUGCAAUCCAGGACUUUUCGGGGGGUCCACCGGUUUAAAAUUAGUCGCAAAAUCCGCAGAAGCAACACUACGUUCCUCGAACUCACGAAAAUAAACACCCCUUGGCCAGGUUUCGGCCGACAUUGCCUUAUCCUUAAGCUCCGAAGCAAUGCCCACCUUGAACGAGAUUGUCCUCAUUCUUGAAACAUCAACCCCCUUUGCCACCAAAAGGAACACCUCAACCUCGUCUGUAGCCAAUCGGGAUUUGGCAAAAGCCGAGAUUUGGUCCACUGUGACGUCGUUGGAAAUUCUGGCCAAGUACAGCCAGAACUUCGACUUUCUGUUGCGACUAGGACCAGCUAACUUGUCACCGGGCCCAUUGUCGAAGACGGUGAGUUUCCUUGGAGGAAGAGGUGGCAGCCUGUUCGACUUCGGAGUCAUCGUACUUGAGUUAAUGAGCCUGGAGAAGUUAGCCUGGAUCUCCUUCUUCAACUCUGGCAUGAUCUCGGUCUUGAGAAGCUCGACAAUUGUGGAGCGAUCCUCCUGGUUUUGAUCCUGACCAGCCUCACUGGCAAGCUUCACAGACUUACGGAACCGAAUGUCAUUCAUCAAACGAGUGCAUGAAGGACAUAGCCAGAAUGUUUGUUUGUUUUUUGCCAUCUCUUUUAGCAGCGACUCAGUCGUGCUUGUACAUUUGAGAUGGAAAACUGCACUGCAAAAAACACGGCAUUCAACUGUUCGGCCGGCUCCCAGUUCAUUGGAGCAGCCAUGACACAAAGCGCUCAUUCUGCUGAUCAAAAGAUAGCAAAAUUUGCUCCGCGAAUUUCUUGUUAAGCUCCGAACAAAUUAACUGCACUUUUCAAUCCGGUUGGUAAACGGCACCCA
rnacentral:lncRNA from 1 species